AACAAAGCUGAGCAUAGAAAUAACGAACGACUUGCCAUUCGAGCUUUUAAUAACGACUUUGGUUCAACCUAUUAAAAAAAACACAUGACAGAAUUGUGGAAUUCAGGGAUAUAGUGCUCUCGAUUCGUAACAUUGCUAAGAUUAUGGGAAAA